UGAGGAACAUGACCUUCGGCGGGGGAUAGCCGGCCCAACGGCCGGGUAAUACCGCGUACGACCUUUCGGGGACAUCCUCGGAUGGUGAAAGCAGCAAUGCGCCGAUGGAGUGCCUCGCGGCCUAUCAGCUAGUUGGUGAGGUAACGGCUCACCAAGGCAACGACGGGUAGCUGGUCUGAGAGGAUGGCCAGCCACAUUGGGACUGAGACACGGCCCAGACCUCCGUACGGGAGCAG
rnacentral:rRNA from 1 species